rnacentral:lncRNA from 1 species
ACCCACAACGGCCAAGGCCCGGCUACAGCGCGUCCACGAAGCCCACGUACUGAGCCAGGACGGGGCUCUCCCUCUCGAUGUAGGGGACUACCCACUGCUCCGCCACCCAGUGAGGCAGCUAAUUAAGAAAGCCACCUUCAGGAUGUCUUUCAAGAAUCUAGCCUGGAAGAAAGUCAUGUAAGAGAACCCUGCAUCAAAAAGUCGGGAGGCCGGGCGGAGUCGCCGUUAAACGUCUCGGGAAAGCCACCAGGUGGGCCGGCGAACGCUCCCGGGCCAGCAGGUAUAUAUUAGAAAAUAAAAUUUUAAAACAACAUGUGGCCAGAUAUAUGACAGAUCUUCAAUAGAUAGUUAUUUUAUAUUCUGUAUCUGAUAAUUCUGAAUCCUUAAGAAUCAAAAUCUGUUGUUUCUGAUGGCUCUCAUAAUGGCAUGUUUCUUUAUGUGUAUCAUAUAUGAACAAUUGUCUACUAAGUCUUUCACUAAUAUGGGAUACACAAGUUAUAAUAAUCAGCCAUCCUCAGUUGCCUGGUCCAUGUCACAGUUAUUAAGUGGUAGAGCUCAGAAUUAAAUUCAGGUCUGUCUGACUUCAAAAACAACUUUUGCUCUCUCGGCCUUAGCGCCAUCUUCUUGAAAACCUCUGCACCAUGACAGCCAAGUGGAGAAAGAAGUGAAUGCAUAGGCUGAAAUGCAAAAGAAGAAAAGUGAGGCAGAGGUCCAAGUAAACUGCUAGCUUGUGCACCCAUGGAGGCCACAGCAGCAGAAACAUGAAGUGCCAGAGGCUGGGGAUGCUGGCACAAGUUGUUGGACUGCAUGCUACUGUCUAGAGCUUGUCUCAAUGGAUCUAGAACUUUCAUUGCCAUCUGAUCACUGAGACCACCUCUGAGACCCACCUUGCUCAUAAUCAAAUCUGUCCAUCUUGGGUUUUUGCCCUGGAACUGUGACAU